rnacentral:rRNA from 1 species
GAUGAACGCUGGCGGCGUGCCUAAUACAUGCAAGUCGAGCGAACAGACGAGGAGCUUGCUCCUCUGACGUUAGCGGCGGACGGGUGAGUAACACGUGGAUAACCUACCUAUAAGACUGGGAUAACUUCGGGAAACCGGAGCUAAUACCGGAUAAUAUAUUUAACCGCAUGGUUCAAUAGUGAAAGACGGUUUUGCUGUCACUUAUAUAUGGAUCCGCGCCGCAUUAGCUAGUUGGUAAGGUAACGGCUUACCAAGGCAACGAUGCGUAGCCGACCUGAGAGGGGGAUCGGCCACACUGGAACUGAGACACGGUCCAGACUCCGAAGGGAGGCAGCAGUAGGGAAUCUUCCGGAAUGGGCGAAAGCCUGACGGAGCAACGCCGCGUGAGUGAUGAAGGGCUUCGGAUCGUAAAACUCUGUUAUUAGGGAAGAACAAAUGUGUAAGUAACUAUGCACGUCUUGACGGUACCUAAUCAGAAAGCCACGGCUAACUACGUG